UACGUAGGGUGCAAGCGUUGUCCGGAAUUAUUGGGCGUAAAGAGCUCGUAGGCGGUCUGUCGCGUCUGCUGUGAAAACUCAGGCUUAACCCUGAGCUUGCAGUGGGUACGGGCAGACUAGAGUGCGGUAGGGGAGACUGGAAUUCCGUGGUGUAGCGGUGAAAUGCGCAGGAUAUCAGGAGGAACACCGGUGGCGAAGGCAGCUCGCUGGGACGGUACU
rnacentral:rRNA from 1 species